AUGUUGAUCUAUAAUAUUCCCCUUGUUGCUCCUAUGGCUAUGUUGAUCUAUAAUAUUCCCAUUGUUGCUGCUAUGCCUAUGUAGAUCUAUAAUAUUCCCCUUGUUGCUGCUAUGCCUAUGUUGAUCUAUAAUAUUCCCCUUGUUGCUGCUAUGCCUAUGUUGAUCUAUAAUAUUCCCCUUGUUGCUCCUAUGUCUAUGUUGAUCUAUAAUAUUCCCCUUGUUCUAUGCCUAUGUUGAUCUAUAAUAUUCCCCUUGUUGAGUAUAGGUAUGAGGAGGAUUCCAACCCUCUCCUGGUGGAACAUAUCUCUAUGCUUCAAGAUUUGUCCUGCAGGUUCUGUAGUAAGGAAACAACUGAUCCUGGACACAGAGACUGCUCUAAACUCAAAAUAUUCACCAGAGGUUUGGUGAAGAAGGAGAAGGGAAGCAGUUUAAG